ACAGCUGACAACGCAGAAUUUGCUAGUGUGCGAUGAACCGAUGUCGUGUAUGUGGUGUGCGCCUUAUGUGUCGUCUGAUUCUCAGAUACUCUUUAGGUUCUCCCCAUAUCUAGGCUGCAUCACUAACAUCGGGUGGUUUUUCGCAGACUGAUAUCCCGCGCUAUAAAUUCAUUAAAGCUUCUCGUUCACUUACAAUGUGCGCUGAUACUCUGAGCCCACCCAGUCCUUUCCAGGCGCUAUAUGCCUGUGCGGCCGAGCAUAUGCGUACGUCAUUAGUGUAUUGAUUGCUUUGACAUAUCACCGGAACAGACUGCACUAACAUGUGCGCAGCUAGGUAUCCCAUUUGGCGGUACGUUGAAAGCUAUGCUAGAAAUGCACUACAUUACUCAUCGUCGCUGGCCAUAAUGCUAGCGCCUGACGUGCGUGCUAACGGUUUUUACAAACACUGCGUUCAUCCAAGUGUGCACUCCUGCUCCAUGCGAUAGCCCACAGCGUUUGUAAUACAGCGCGCCAAGGCAUUUCCUUUUUCCAUGGAAAGAACUGAAAAAUGGAAGGUUAAAGCAACCGGUUUCGCGCGCAUGGAACGCAGAGAGAGAGAGAGAGAGCGACAAUAAAAAAAAGAAAAAAAAAAAGAAGAGAAACGGGCAAAGGCGCUCAGAUUUCUCGGAGCACGUACGCCGUCGCCGGCCGGAGCGCCUGCGCAUGCGCAGCGGCAGCAACGGCGGCGCGCCAUCUCUCCGCGUCGAUUUGAAUUCUCAACGGCUGCGCCAGGCAAGUCAACGCUUGUUGCUGCUGGUGAGCUGCCUGCACCUUGGUGUCUGUGUAUUCGUCUCGACUUUGUGGCAUCACACGUCAACUACACUGAACGCGGGUGUCAUAGACUGCCAGGGAAUUUUCAUGAAAACAGCCAGGGAAAGCUUGGAAAAACAUCAGGGAAAUUGAAAAUGACAACAUAGCAUGCACCUGCAGCACCUUCGGAA